AACGAACGCUGGCGGCGCGUCUUACCCAUGCAAGUCGAGCGGCAGGCCGCAAUGCCGAGAGCGGCGGACUGGUGAGUAACACGUGGAUAACGUACCCCGAUGUCCGGGACAGCCUGUAGAAAUAGAGGGUAAUACCGGAUAGAUCACUGUUUACGUGAGGUAGACAGCGGGAAAGGAGCUUCGGCUCCGCGACGGGAUCGGUCUGCGGCCCAUCAGCUGGACGGCGGGGUAAAGGCCCGCCGUGGCGAGGACGGGUAUCCGGCCUGAGAGGGCGGACGGACACAUUGGGACUGAGAUACGGCCCAGACUCCUACGGGAGGCAGCAGGUAAGAAUAUUCCGCAAUGGGGGGAACCCUGACGGAGCGACGCCGCGUGAACGAAGAGGGCCGGAAGGUUGUAAAGUUCUUUUCUGUCCGAGGAAUAAGUUUCGGAGGAAAUGCCGGGACGGUGACGGUAGGGCAGGAAUAAGCACCGGCUAAUUACGUG
rnacentral:rRNA from 1 species